rnacentral:misc_RNA from 1 species
GUAGGUGAACCUGCGGAAGGAUCAUUACAGAGUUAUGCCCUUAAAUUGGGUAGACCUCCAACCCUUUGUAUACUUGACUUUUUGUUGCUUUGGCGGGCCGUUAGGCUUUUAAAAAAAGGCUUUCCAUUGGCAUAGCUGAUGUGUUGCUCGUCAGAGGAAAAACUAAAACUCUGAAUUUUUAAAUUGUUUGUCCGAGUUUAAAAAC